UACAUGGGGUGCGAACGUUGCUCGGAAUCAUUGGGCGUAAAGCGCGCGUAGGCGGUUACUUAAGUCGAAUGUGAAAGCCCUCGGCUUAACCGAGGAAGUGCAUCCGAAACUGAGUAGCUAGAGUACGAAAGAGGGUCGCGGAAUUCCCGGUGUAGAGGUGAAAUUCGUAGAUAUCGGGAGGAACACCGGUGGCGAAGGCGGCGACCUGGGUCGAGACUGACGCUGAGGCGCGAAAGCGUGGGGAGCAAACAGG
rnacentral:rRNA from 1 species